GUCAAUUAGUUUGGCGAGGUUUAGGGAUGGAUUUUGGUGUGGCUUCGGGUUAGGCGUGCCAUAUGCUUGAUGAUUUUAGCGUCGCACCUGUUGCUUAAUGUGAGCUUGUUAUCCCUGGUGUACAGAGGGAUACGUGUAUGGCUGAAAUGGGUGCCAUGUUUUUCUUUUUUCAGCUCAAACUCAUUUUUCCUUUCUUCCUGUAUAGAGUCCUUUCUCUCUGUCUUUUUUCCUCUAUGGGACGACACGGGUAGGCUUUAGGAUUGUAAUUUUCUUUGUACGAAGAGGAAGAAGAAAAAGAAAGUGCACUUUUUGGAAGUUCUGACGGAUCCAAGAGAAGAUAGGAAAGAGUUCAAGAAAUAGCUACUGAAGAUUCUUGCUAGAAAUUUACAAAACAAAAAUAAAAAUCUGAACUUUUCUUUGAAGUUUUUGGUUUUUUAUUUUUGGGUAUUUUAGCUAUUAUUUAGCUGAUUUGAUUAUGGGUUUUGAUGAAUGCAAAGUUUAGGUAUUGGGAGAAUGUGGGAAUUAGAAAUUUUGUUUAAAUCUGAGUCUUUUUUUUUCCUUUGUUUUCUUUGCUCUCCUUUGUCCCUUUCUUUCCUCUUUUUUUCUCUUUGCUACCAUGAGCCGCAAAGGUGGUGGCAGCGGCGGUGGAAGACGUAGAGGUGAGGAGUCAGGGGUUUUGAUCCCAGACAAUGCAAAGAAAACAAUCUAAAGGGAGAUCACAGGGAAGAAACUGAACGAUGAAAAAAUCUAUGCAGUGCUCAAAAAGUGCUCUGUGGAUCUUAAUGAAACUACUUAAAAGGUUCUUUAUCUGGGUAAUAAUUGCACCACGGUAAUAUUCAAGCCUCCAAGGACUGCUACUUACAUCAUUCGAACAACAUUAGGUGCUCGAUCCAUGUUGAAGAUGCUCCUUGAUGCUGCCGGAGGUAUUGUUAUUACUAUUGAUGGAAAUGCCAUUUUACGUGAGUUAGAUCUUGCACACCCAGCAGCAAAGGCACAAUAUCCCACCAUGCUUCUUUAUUUCAUUUUCUUCAGAUGUGAAUGCUUUUAUUUUUUUCCCCUUAUCUUUAUGAUUUCCAUUCUUUCUUGUUCUACUCUGUGUUGAUUUGUCAUGGCAAUCUAUAAUUGAAUUGAGUCGCAAACGCAAGAUGAAGAAGUUGGAAAUGGAACAACAUCUGUCAUUGUUCUUGGUAUAUGUUUAUGCAGCAGAAUGAUCAUUUAUAGUCUAUGGUGGAUAUUCUUCGCAUACAUUAGUUUAGAUUGCUAUGUUAAAACAUGCUUUUGAGAACUGGUAUAAUUUAAGAUGCUAAAUUGAUUUUUAAUGAGGUAAGCUUCAAGGUGGGAAUUUAACCUUUCAAAUGUGGAUGUAAUAUCAUUAAGGUUGCUUAGGGAUCAUGCCGUUGUCACUUAUUUUUCUCUUUUGUGAUGAUAUACUUUGCAUGAUAUUGCAUGGCUUUCAGUGCUUAUGUUUGGAGUAUUUUGGGUGUAGCUAGUGAGAUGCUUCAUGUUGCAAAAGCCUUUAUCGACAAAAAUUAUCAUCUUACAGUGAC